rnacentral:rRNA from 1 species
AUUGAACGCUGGCGGCAUGCCUUACACAUGCAAGUCGAACGGUAACGCGGGGCAACCUGGCGACGAGUGGCGAACGGGUGAGUAAUGCAUCGGAACGUGCCCAGUUGUGGGGGAUAACUGCUCGAAAGAGCAGCUAAUACCGCAUACGACCUGAGGGUGAAAGCGGGGGAUCGCAAGACCCCGCGCAAUUGGAGCGGCCGAUGUCGGAUUAGCUAGUUGGUGGGGUAAAGGCCCACCAAGGCGACGAUCCGUAGCUGGUCUGAGAGGACGACCAGCCACACUGGGACUGAGACACGGCCCAGACUCCUACGGGAGGCAGCAGUGGGGAACUUUGGACAAUGGACGCAAGUCUGAUCCAGCCAUGCCGCGUGCGGGAAGAAGGCCUUCGGGUUGUAAACCGCUUUUGUCAGGGAAGAAAUCUUCUGGGUUAAUACCUCGGGAGGAUGACGGUACCUGAAGAAUAAGCACCGGCUAACUGCGUGCCAGCCGCCGCCGUAACAC